ACUCAAAUGAAUUGACGGGGGCUCGCACAAGCAGUGGAGCAUGUGGUUUAAUUCGAUGCAACGCGAAGAACCUUACCCAGGUUAGAAAUACAGGGGACAGUGUCAGAGAUGACAUCUCCCGAAAGGGUCCCUGUACAGGUGCUGCAUGGCUGUCGUCAGCUCGUGCUGUGAGGUGUUGGGUUAAGUCCCGCAACGAGCGCAACCCUUAUGAUUAGUUGCCAUCACGUCAAGGUGGGCACUCUAGUCAGACUGCCCGGGUUAACUGGGAGGAAGGUGAGGAUGACGUCAAGUCAGCAUGGCCCUUAUGUCUGGGGCUACACACGUGCUACAAUGGCCGGCACAGAAGGAAGCAAGACCGCGAGGUGGAGCAAAUCCGUAAAGCUGGUCUCAGUUCAGAUUGCAGUCUGCAACUCGACUGCAUGAAGAUGGAAUUGCUAGUAAUGGCGUGUCAGCAAUAGCGCCGUGAAUACGUUCCCGGGCCUUGUACACACCGCCCGU
rnacentral:rRNA from 1 species